rnacentral:lncRNA from 1 species
CCCACUUGGGCAGCAAGACAAGCAGGCCUGCAAACUUCCUUUUCUUCAUCAGCCACAGAGACAUCCUCAGCUAUUAUUCUGGAUUAAGGCAGAGAUCUCCAAACAGCAGACUAAGAUCAGCCUCUAGAUCUCAAAGCCUUACUGUUAUCUCUCCAAGUCAGUGGCUGAUCUCAGAGAAGCUUCUGAAUAGUGACUAGCAAAGAGUCACUCAGGCUACUUACAAAUCCAGGACAGCAGCGUUUUUUUUUUUUUCUUUUUUAGAGACAGAUUCACUCUGUCAUCCAAGCUGGAGUUGCAGUGAGCCGAGAUCACGCUAGUGCACUCUAGCCUGGGUGACAGAGCGAAACUCUGUCUAAAAAAAAGAAGUUAUUUUUUAUCAAUAUAUAUUAACAUGCAAUGGAUUUAUUAUUAUUAUUAUUUUAUUUAUUUAUUUUUUACUUGAGACAGAGUCUUGCUCUGCCACCCAGG